GCACAAACUACUUAGGCGGAGUUAGCAGUGCAGUACAAAUGGAACAGAAAAAGAAGUUGCUAGCUGUUGCUCAACAGAGAGGUAAUGGAAGAGGAGAUUUUUCCCAUAUUGAGUUGAAGCUUGCCCCUUUGGAUCACAAUUUCAUGUGCAACACUGUUCAAACUCAAACACAUGCAUGAGUCUAUGACUCUAUGUGAUGCUUAUAGCUAAGUGGAAAGUCUUAUUUUUACUUUAAUUUUCAUUUUAUAGUCUUGAGGGAGGCUAUUUUAGGCAAUUUUCAAAACUCCCGAGAAUAUGCAGAAGAACAGGGUUAAGUCUGAGUUUAAGCAGUUACAACCUGAAGGGAUUGGAAACAAUUGAUCAAUUCAGAUCUGCUUGCUUGAUUUGCAAAUCAUUCUCACAAUUUGGGGUUUAGUCCAUUCGAUUCAAAUAAGCAAGGGGGAAAACUGAGUCCCACAUGUUUGAAUUGAGAAUUAGUUGAUUCUCACUAUUUUUAUCAUGUUAUGUUCGUGGUUCUACCUAAAAUGUUUUUUGGCUGUUGGGUGGUGUAUCAAGAUAUGAAGUUUUUAUACAUCCACCGUAGUUGUCUAGUACUGAAUACAUGACACUGUCUUUUUCUGUGUUUCCUUUUUCCCUAUUCAUUUCUUUGCAAUUAUUAUACUUAUGCUAGAUUGUGAUUUGGCACUGCUAAAACUUAAGCUGUCCUUGAGGGUAUUUGUCCAGUUCAACAUUCUUUUUACAGGUGAUUUUAUGCUCUUGAUAUGCAAUGCAAAUUCAGUUGACUUUGUGGUGAAUGCCUUAUUGUCAGUUUGUUCCGUUAAUCUGGAAGAGCAGAAAUAAUUUUGGAAUUUUAUGAUAACCUCAUUUGUUUUCUUUUCUUAAGGGCCUAAUUUAAAAUUGGAUACCAUUUUCCUUUUCCAUUUAGAUUUGGAUAUACUUGAUGAUAUUUCAAUAAGGCAUGAGUGUUUUUCAGGUCACGUCUUUUGUUGAUCUAGUUCCCUUCUUUCUUUGGUGGUUUGAUAUUGCUUUUACUGUUAAAGAGAUCUGAACCUAUACAUCUGGGUUUUGGUAUCGUUUGCAGUUUUUGGAAGACUUUAUAAAUG
rnacentral:misc_RNA from 1 species